UGAAGAGGGCCCGGGGAGGAGGAGGGGGAGUGUCGCUGCUCAGGCAGUCCCGCCAGCCCGCCGGGGCCGUUCGUGUGUAUACGAGAGAUGCGGAGGAGCCCGCCCGGUGCUCAGCAGGCCCCAGGCAAAUGCUAAGCGAAGGGAGCAACUCCAUUUCGUGGUGCUCCAUGCCCGAGAAACCUUUGUUGAUUCCAGCGAUGCGGUGUCUCACAGAUGCUGCAAGGGGCUGAUAGUAACAGCUAGCUCUGUGCUUUUCUGCAUGUUCUGUGGGAAAGCUCAGCACGAGGAAAUGAGAAUGGAGCAUUCCUCCAUCCUUUCCAAAUCCCAGAGAAGUUUACAGUCUGGCUUUGUGUAAACUGUGCCUUGUUAAGAGGCAGGAGAUGUGGACAUGAAUCCUGUGGGGAUCAGCCCAGGCUGCCCCAUUCUGGUUCUGUGCCCUUCACCAAAGGAUUGCAGAGUAGCAAGACCAGCUGGGAUAAUAGGAGACUGCAAGUGAGAGGAAGAAUGACAAAGCAGUAAGUAUAAUUAUUCUUUUGCUUCUUGAAGAUGCUCAGAAGAAAAUCUAAUUUAGCAAUGUGUAGGGGAGCUCCUGACUUAUGCUUGGGGUUUGUAGGGUUGACACUAGGAAAAAAAAAAAAAAAAAAAAAAAAAGGAGGAACCCAAACAAAACAGUGUGCAGUGUAACAGCAGCACAUUACCCAGAGCUGCAGUGCUGAACAUGGCAUGACAUUGAAACCAGCUAUUUUUAAAUGGAUUCUGGUACAGUGAGCUCACUUGCACUCAAGCUUCUACUGUGCUUUGCAAAAAUUCCAGCCAUGCUGGGGUGUGGGGUGCAUGCUCUCUCCCUGCCAUGAGGGAGACUCCACAGGGCCUUCAGUCUCACUGAAAAACAAGGGGCACACAGCAGUCCUUUAAAAUGGCCGGUACUUCUCCCUAUAGACUUACUGCCCUCCCGUGGCUGCCAAGGAGCAUCUCUUAUGCAGCAACAGGGAGACCGAGAACUGAGGGCAACAAUAACUAUAUAUUCAAUUUAAACCAAAAUGCAAUUUGAGUUACAAGGAAGAGGAAGACAAACGCACAGUGUGAUUAAGUUGAAGUACCUUGGAAGGCAAGAAUGAAGCAGAGAAACUCAAUGGUUUGGGAGUAACAGGGAGGCCUCCAAAUACUUUGCUUUGCAAGCAUAGUGGGCUCUGAUCUAUUCUUCACCAGAGCUGCAUCAGCAAGUGCCAUUUGCUCAAAAAGAGACAGUUCAUCUGACUUCAUCCAACUGCCCUGUGGGGGAAGCUUUGCUAGUGACUGGUGCAAAGAAGGUAUGGGAGAGCAAACCACUGCUCUUUUUCCUGACUGGUAAAUGUGUGCUGUGACUUUGCUGUAUGUACUAAUCCUCACUGGCCCAGCUUCAGCAGUGUUUAUAAAGCUCUUGCUGAGACACUUCAUAUUGCAAAUGUGUC